rnacentral:rRNA from 1 species
UACGAAGGGGGCUAGCGUUGUUCGGAAUCACUGGGCGUAAAGCGCGUGUAGGCGGACUGUUAAGUCGGGGGGUGAAAUCCCGAGGCUCAACCUCGGAAUUGCCUUCGAUACUGGCAGUCUUUGAGUCCGGGAGAGGUGAGUGGAACUCCUAGUGUAGAGGUGAAAUUCGUAGAUAUUAGGAAGAACACCAGUGGCGAAGGCGGCUCAGCUGGCCCGGUACUGACGGCUGUGACGCGAAAGCGUGGGGAGCAAACAGGAUUGAGAA